AAUGGCCGUUUUUAUACCAGAGACGCAUUAUGCGUCUGGACGAACUUGGGCAAGCAUUUGUUGUUCGUCCGGUUAUGCGUCCUUAGUAUAAAGACGGGCACAAGACGCAUUAUGCGUCUAGACGAACUAUGUUCGAUUCUUCGUCUUAAGAGACGCACAACCGAUGAUAGUUCGUCUAGACGCAUAAUGCGUCUUGUCGCAUAAUGCGUCUUGUGCCCGUCUUUAUACUGAGGACGCAUAACCAGACGAACAAUAGAUGUUGAUAGUUCGUCGCAUUGGCCG
rnacentral:lncRNA from 1 species